rnacentral:rRNA from 1 species
CAGGCCUAACACAUGCAAGUCGAACGCACCUUCGGGUGAGUGGCAGACGGGUGAGUAACACGUGGGAACGUGCCCUUCGGUUCGGAAUAACUCAGGGAAACUUGAGCUAAUACCGGAUACGCCCUUUGGGGGAAAGGUUUACUGCCGAAGGAUCGGCCCGCGUCUGAUUAGCUAGUUGGUGGGGUAAUGGCCUACCAAGGCGACGAUCAGUAGCUGGUCUGAGAGGAUGAUCAGCCACACUGGGACUGAGACACGGCCCAGACUCCUACGGGAGGCAGCAGUGGGGAAUAUUGGACAAUGGGCGAAAGCCUGAUCCAGCCAUGCCGCGUGAGUGAUGAAGGCCUUAGGGUUGUAAAGCUCUUUUGUCCGGGAAGAUAAUGACUGUACCGGAAGAAUAAGCCCCGGCUAACUUCGUGCCAGCAGCCGCGGUAAU